UCUAAACUAAACAUUAUGACGUAAUUUGGGGUAUAUAGAGUCAAGGACAAAGGAUUACGCUCUCUUCCUGCUACGAUCCGUUUGCUCUCCUCUCUGAUGUCAAGACGACUCUCUGUAACAUCGUUAAGAAGUACCAUCUGUUAAGUAUAUGAUUGUUUCCUGUUGAAUGUAGAAUAAAUACUAAUUUUUUAUAAAGAACGUAAGAUUGCGUAUUACUACUUUUCAAUAAUAUAGACAUAUAUUAUUGUGGCGAGCAUUUGGCCCAAGAAUAUAUAUACAAAAGACGUAUAUAUAUCAAUCAACUGAAGAUAAGAAGAAAUUAAGAA